rnacentral:rRNA from 1 species
CGGACGGGUGAGUAAUGCUUGGGAAUCUGGCUUAUGGAGGGGGAUAACUACGGGAAACUGUAGCUAAUACCGCGUAAUAUCUUCGGAUUAAAGGGUGGGACUUUCGGGCCACCUGCCAUAAGAUGAGCCCAAGUGGGAUUAGGUAGUUGGUGGGGUAAAGGCCUACCAAGCCGACGAUCUCUAGCUGGUCUGAGAGGAUGACCAGCCACACUGGAACUGAGACACGGUCCAGACUCCUACGGGAGGCAGCAGUGGGGAAUAUUGCACAAUGGGGGGAACCCUGAUGCAGCCAUGCCGCGUGGAUGAAGAAGGCCUUCGGGUUGUAAAGUUCUUUCGGUGAUGAGGAAGGUGUUUGUUUUAAUAGAACAAGCAAUUGACGUUAGUCACAGAAGAAGCACCGGCUAACUCCGUGCCAGCAGCCGCGGUAAUACGGAGGGUGCGAGCGUUAAUCGGAAUGACUGGGCGUAAAGGGCACGCAGGCGGUGACUUAAGUGAGAUGUGAAAGCCCCGGGCUUAACCUGGGAAUUGCAUUUCAUACUGGGUCGCUAGAGUAUUUUAGGGAGGGGUAGAAUUCCACGUGUAGCGGUGAAAUGCGUAGAGAUGUGGAGGAAUACCGAAGGCGAAGGCAGCCCCUUGGGAAUAUACUGACGCUCAUGUGCGAAAGCGUGGGGAGCAAACAGGAUUAGAUACCCUGGUAAUCCACGCUGUAAACGCUGUCGAUUUGGG